rnacentral:lncRNA from 1 species
UUUCUGUGUCCCCUGCAGCCCACCAUGAGCUCUGUGAUUCCUGGAGCCCAACAGAGCAGCAGCCUGGGCUUUGACAAGGAGGCUGGAGUAGAAGAUCAGAGUGGACAGUCCUGGGGCACUGGGGGCAGCACUUGAGGACAUCCAGCAAUUCCUGGUACUAGAAAGACUCCUCUGGUCACCUCUCUGUGGCAUAAUAUCUGCAGAGAGACUCCUUCUGGGAAGAUAGGGCACUUGUUCCCUGCCAGCACCAUCAAGUGUGGACAUUUUCGUAUGGCAGGUGUGGACUCAGGCCCAAAGUACUGAACAUGCCUUGGGCUGAGUUUCUGUAGUGAGCAGCUGGCUAUUCAAUGAUCAAACAUGUCUGAGACCACCUAAGUGGUGUUUCCUGAGGCACAUGGUCAGCAUCCUGAAGAUUCUUGUGUUCAGCUAAGAUACAAAAGUAGUUGAAGUUCUGGCAUAUUCUCAUAGAGAAUUGGGUAUAUCAUGAUUGACAAGAUAAGCAGAGAAGUCUGCUGAGAUAUACAUACACAUGCAUUUGAGACUGAAUGUAUAGAUAUGUUUUACAAGAAGUUUGAAAAUACACCAUCAUCCAUUAGGCAGG